rnacentral:rRNA from 1 species
UACGUAGGGGUGCAAGCGUUAAUCGGAAUUACUGGGCGUAAAGCGUGCGCAGGCGGUUUGUUAAGACAGAUGUGAAAUCCCCGGGCUUAACCUGGGAACUGCAUUUGUGACUGGCAAGCUAGAGUAUGGCAGAGGGGGGGUAGAAUUCCACGUGUAGCAGUGAAAAUGCGUAGAGAUCAGGAAGAACACCCGUGGCGAAGGCGGCCCACUGGGCCGGUGCUGACGCUGAGGCGCGAAGGCGUGGGGAGCGAACGGG